rnacentral:tRNA from 1 species
GGUGGUGGCUCAGUGGUACAGCACUUGCCUAGCAUGUGUGAGGCACUGGGUUCGAUUCUCAGCACCA